UGAAGUAAAGCAUGCCGUCUUGUGCUACAUCCACGCUAUUAGGUAUCUUGAAUUUUAUGCCCUCGGCCUCAUCUGUCAGCAGUUCCACUGUUCCAUCCUCUCUUAUCUUCAGUAGCCCCUAAUCAAAACCCCAAGAAGAAGCAAAAGUAAGUUUGCUGAUGAAAAUGAUUUUGGAACUCUCAUUUUGUCCUCUCUAACCACAGAAAUGUACUGUGGAUUAGGAUCAGACUGACCUUCUCCGUGUCAGCUACGUAAACCGUUGUCAGCGCCGUGAGCAAGUCCAAGCGGUCUCCCGCCGGUGAAAACCCAGUUCUCCACCACCGAGUCAGCAGCCGACUCCUUCACCGUGACUCGCUUAACCCACCCGUCAGCACAACCGGUGUAAAUGAGACCCGACUUCGGAUCAUGAGCCACGUCUUCCGGUGCCACUAAAUCCCCGGCACCCACAAACUCUGACCCUUUGAGCAUGUGGGCAUUACGUUUGGGAGCAGCCGCGACUCGCUGGGUCAACUCGUGAAGCGGCAGGGGAGCUGGGUGGAGCGUGUCGAGUUGGUAAAUUAGUAGGGCUAUUGUUAUUGGAGCCAGUACUGAGAGGAUGAGAAAAGUUGAGGGCCAUGAAGGUGUUUUUCUUGUGGGAGUGGGAUGAGUGUCGUCGGAGGCUUGGGUUGGGGAAGGGGAGUGCAUUGUUUAGUGACUCAGUGAGCUGUGGGAACUCGGUCUAGAAAAUAUUAGGUUUAGGUCGGAUCAAUAUGUUUCAUUCUUUCAGAGGAGAGAGAGCUUGCUCUCUUAAGUACUUAGAUGAACUUUGUCUCCACACGUAUUCAAUCUUUCGAUGUAUGAAAUGUCAUAAAUUUGAAUAACUGAGACUGCGGACCGGGAGGCAAAUUCAACAGUCAAAGUAUGAGUUGAUUGUGAUUGCGAACCGGACCUCGCUGCUAAAAAGUCGAUGACCAAUUAAACCUGG
rnacentral:lncRNA from 1 species